ACCUGACUGGCUCAUUCUGUAGAGCGUGUGACUCUUGAUCUCAGGGUUGUGAGUUUGAGUCCAAUGUUAGGUG
rnacentral:tRNA from 1 species